AUUGAACGCUGGCGGCAGGCCUAACACAUGCAAGUCGAGCGGAUGAAGGGAGCUUGCUCCUGGAUUCAGCGGCGGACGGGUGAGUAAUGCCUAGGAAUCUGCCUGGUAGUGGGGGAUAACGUCCGGAAACGGGCGCUAAUACCGCAUACGUCCUGAGGGAGAAAGUGGGGGAUCUUCGGACCUCACGCUAUCAGAUGAGCCUAGGUCGGAUUAGCUAGUUGGUGGGGUAAAGGCCUACCAAGGCGACGAUCCGUAACUGGUCUGAGAGGAUGAUCAGUCACACGGGAACUGAGACACGGCCCAGACUCCUAGGGGGGGAGGCAGGGGGAAAUUUUGAACAAGGGGCGAAAUCCUGACCCAGCCAUGCGGGGUGUGUAAAGAAGGUCUUCGGAUUGUAAAGCCUUUUAAUUUGGGAGGAAGGGCAGUAAGUUAAUACCUUCUUUUUUUGACGUUACCAAAAAAAAAAACCCCGGCUAACUUCGUC
rnacentral:rRNA from 1 species